rnacentral:rRNA from 1 species
UACGUAGGGUGCGAGCGUUAAUCGGAAUUACUGGGCGUAAAGCGUGCGUAGGCGGUUCGUUAAGUUCGUCGUGAAAGCCCCGGGCUCAACCUGGGAAUGGCGAUGGAACUGGCGGGCUGGAGUAUGGCAGAGGGGGUGGAAUUCCGCGUGUAGCAGUGAAAUGGCGUAGAGGAUGCGGAGGAACACCGAUGGCGAAGGCAGCCCCUGGGCCAAUACUGACGCUCAGGCACGAAAGCGUGGGGAGCAAACAGG